rnacentral:rRNA from 1 species
ACGAACGCUGGCGGCGCGCCUAACACAUGCAAGUCGAACGGAGUUAUUUUGGCAGAAGCCUUCGGGCGGACGCUGAUAUAACUUAGUGGCGAACGGGUGAGUAACACGUGAGCAACCUGCCCUUCAGAGGGGGACAACAGUUGGAAACGACUGCUAAUACCGCAUAAGACCACGGUGUGGCAUCACACAGAGGUCAAAGGAGAAAUCCGCUGAAGGAUGGGCUCGCGUCCAAUUAGCUAGAUGGUGAGGUAACGGCCCACCAUGGCGACGAUUGGUAGCCGGACUGAGAGGUUGAUCGGCCACAUUGGGACUGAGACACGGCCCAGACUCCUACGGGAGGCAGCAGUGGGGAAUAUUGCACAAUGGAGGAAACUCUGAUGCAGCGACGCCGCGUGAGGGAAGAAGGUCUUCGGAUUGUAAACCUCUGUUGUCAGGGACGAUAAUGACGGUACCUGACGAGGAAGCCACGGCUAACUACGUGCCAGCAGCCGCGGUAAAACGUAGGUGGCAAGCGUUGUCCGGAAUUACUGGGUGUAAAGGGAGCGCAGGCGGGAGAGCAAGUUGGAAGUGAAAUCUGUGGGCUCAACUCACAAAUUGCUUUCAAAACUGUUUUUCUUGAGUGGUGUAGAGGUAGGCGGAAUUCCCGGUGUAGCGGUGGAAUGCGUAGAUAUCGGGAGGAACACCAGUGGCGAAGGCGGCCUACUGGGCACUAACUGACGCUGAGGCUCGAAAGCAUGGGUAGCAAACAGGAUUAGAUACCCUGGUAGUCCAUGCCGUAAACGAUGAUUACUAGGUGUGGGAGGAUUGACCCCUUCCGUGCCGCAGUUAACACAAUAAGUAAUCCACCUGGGGAGUACGACCGCAAGGUUGAAACUCAAAGGAAUUGACGGGGGCCCGCACAAGCGGAGGAACAUGUGGUUUAAUUCGAUGAUACGCGAGGAACCUUACCCGGGCUUAAAUUGCAGAUGAAUUACGGUGAAAGCCGUAAGCCGCAAGGCAUCUGUGAAGGUGCUGCAUGGUUGUCGUCAGCUCGUGUCGUGAGAUGUUGGGUUAAGUCCCGCAACGAGCGCAACCCUUAUCGUUAGUUACUACGCAAGAGGACUCUAGCGAGACUGCCGUUGACAAAACGGAGGAAGGUGGGGAUGACGUCAAAUCAUCAUGCCCUUUAUGACCUGGGCUACACACGUACUACAAUGGCUAUUAACAGAGAGAAGCGAAGCCGCGAGGUAGAGCAAACCUCAGAAAAAUAGUCUCAGUUCGGAUCGCAGGCUGCAACCCGCCUGCGUGAAGCCGGAAUUGCUAGUAAUCGCGGAUCAGCAUGCCGCGGUGAAUACGUUCCCGGGCCUUGUACACACCGCCCGUCACACCAUGAGAGCCGGGGGGACCCGAAGUCGGUAGUCUAACCGCAAGGAGGACGCCGCCGAAGGUAAAACUGGUGAUUGGGGUG